UCAAUUGCCAUACUAUUCUAAAUGAAAUAUAGUAUAUUUUAGACCUUCAAGUUUAGGGUAUAGGUAGCUCCGUUAUGGGCGAUGGUUUGGUUUUACAAUUUGGUUUUAGGGUUUGGGUUAAGGGUUUACAGUUUGGGUUUAGGGUUUAGAGUUUGGGUUUAGGGGGGUUUUGGGUUUAAGGUUUGGGUUUAGGGUUUGAGUUAAGGGUCUACGGUUUGGGUUUAGGGUUUAGACCUUCAAGGUUAGGGUUUAGGUAGCUCCGUUAUGGGUGAUGGUUUGGUUUUACAAUUUGGGUUUAGGGUUUGGGUUAAGGGUUUACAGUUUGGAUUUAGGGUUUAGAAUUUGGGUUUAGGGGGGUUUAGGGUUUAGGUAGCUUUGUUUGGGUCUAUGGUUUGGGUUAAGAAUUUGUGUUUAGGGUUUGGGUUUAUGGUUUAGAGUUUUGGUUUAGGGUUUAGGUAGCUCCGUUAUGGUUUACGGUUUGGGUUAAGAAUUUGGGUUUAGGGUAUACGGUUUGGGUUUAGGGUUUAAUGGUCUACCGUUUCGGUUUAGAGUUUAGAGACAAUUAUUUGUGUGUUUGCCUUCUCUUUUGUGUGUUUAUAUCGCCUCAAUCCAUGUCAUAACAUUAGGCUACUGCAACUUGUCUGAACGCAUGUAUUGAAGAUCUGGCUUCUUUGUCUAGACUAUACCAUAUAUCGUAUAGUAUAAAUUUGUUUGGGUCACUUUCUAUACAUGUAUUGGAACAUUACCAAAAUGUGGGCAUAGUACAUUGAAUAUAGGGUAGUCUCGUUUCCGUGCAUGGGUAUAUUGUAUAUUUUCGGACUUUCGAACCCCUUAUGAAUACACAUUUACCAAUUGUUGUGACUUUGUGUGUGGCAGAACUUAACUAGACGUCAUGGGUUGGAUUCGCAGUAAUAAUCUCAACGGCUAGCACUUCAGGUGACGGAUACAUCUUAGCACCGGUGGUAGCUCUAGCGUUAGUCUCCACAGUCACAUGAGCAUCAUUGGUUGGUUCCAUGAUUGCUCAAGUUCUUUCAGUUUGGGUGGUAAGGUAUUUGUUUCUUUUUUGUUGGGUUGAUUGUAUGAGAGAAGGAAAUAUAUAUAGUGACUGAGUAAGCAUGGAUGUCUAAAAGACCCACAUAUAAGAAUUUAUGGUAAAAUCUAAUACAUAUUUCUUUGGCAUCUCUUAAUUUUAUGUUAGAUAACUUAGACAUAUCCAGACAUUCAUGUGGCUCACGCUAAUAGGUUUAUGAUCCACGUGGUUCACACUAAUAGGUCUAUUUGUAUUAUAAUAUUUGUCGUGGAGCGUUAAAUAGAUAUCGAUGAAAAAUAUUUAUAUAGAAGUAUUGAGUUUUAUUAAUUUUUCACUAUUUUAAGUAGUAGUUCCUAUUAAUAGAAUGCUAUCAAUCCAUUUUUCUAAUAUAUUCUUGAAGGUUUAGUUUUUAGGUAAUAAUCAUAUGAAUGUAUUAAUAAAAUAGUUACACAUAUAAUAAUAUGCUCAUAUAUAGAUAAAUGAGGUUAUAAAGAUAUCUAAAAGUAUAAGUUUUGAAAUUUAAAUGUCUUUAAAUAAUUAUUUAUUAUACAACAAUGUUGUUGUUAAUUCAUUUUCUUUAUAAACUCUUAGCUUUACUUUAGUUCUUCAAUAUAUAUCCACAUAAAUUCUAUGUCAUUUUGAUUAUUGAUAAACAAUCAUAAAUAAAUUAUCAAAACUAUCAUUUCAUUGUUUUUCUAUAAUAUACAAUUAGAAAGGCUUUUAUACGUUUUUAUAUCACAUAUACAUCUUACAAAAUUAUAAUUUUAGUCCGAAAUCAUAUCAAUGCUUUUUGUUUCUUUAAUUGUUUAUUUUGUUUGUGUUCUCCUAACAAAUGAUGUCUAAUAAUUUUGAAUAAAAGAUUUAGCUAUAAAAACUGUUUCAAAUUUGUUAAUUCAUCACCCUACAGGCUUAUUUGUAGUUGGCAGAAUUUUGUAGUUUUUUCAAAUUACCUCUAACAUGUAAGAAAAGUGUAGAUUUGAUUUUACUAUAAACAUGGUAACAAAUCUUGGAUACAUUUCCUUUUAUUUCAUUCCCUAUUUUUUAUCAUAGAGAUUUAUUAAAAGAUUUUAUUUACAUUUUCUAUUUUGUGACUAAAAUCAUAAAUUCAGUAUAUUAAUAUUGUAUAAAGGAAGUUAAUUGUAUUUUUUUUGUUUUCUAUAUAGUAGGAAACUCAUAUCACACCUUGAGGUAUAUAAUAUUUACUAUACAUUGAACUUAAAUUUAGUUUGCAAGUCUAUCAGAUGCAAAAUUUGGUAGGUUAAGAUACCCUUCUUUUUAGAGAAUAAAAUAUAUAUUAUUUCCAACAAAAUAUAAUUACUUCCCUUUUGCUAGACUUGCAAUUCUUUUGGUAAUGAUAUGAUUCUUAUUACAGCUGCUACCAAAAUAAACUACAACAAAUAUUUGUGACUCAAAUGGUUACAUUUUUCCUAUGUCCUGAAAUUACAUUGUGAAUUAAUAACAAAGAAAGGUAGUCCAGCAAUCCAAUGAUCAUUCCACUGUAUCACCACUUUUUCUCAAUCUAUUAAAAAUGUAUCAUUGUCUUUCUACUUAUGAUGAUUAAAAAAACAAACCACUUCUCACUUGACAGAUUAUGUAUUGUAGAUCCUAAAAUCUACACUAAGUAUUUUGUAGUGUUUGAGAUGUAAAACUAGGGGAAAAAAUAAAUGUGGGCAACGAUAUCCUUAGAACACAACGUUUUAAUCAGAUUCCGGUUGGCGAAAAUGGACUUUUAUUGAUAAAACAGAAUUGAAUACAAUAGAGAAUUGAGAUCGAGAACUACAACUGAAAUCAAAUAAGAAGAGAAUGGGUCUGCGAUGUGAUGAGUUUGAGGUCGAUGUAGGUUGGUAGUUCACUUUCUAGGUUUUUUCACGUGUCUCUCCCUCUUGUCUUAGACCCCUUUUUUAUAGUCGCUCAGCUCCGUGAUCUUCUCAACUGCUUCCUCGACCUCCGGAUUUUGAUCCCUCUUUGUCUCGAACUCGUUCACACGAAAUGGGCCUCGGACCAUGCGGUCCACUUCUUUCUCAGCCCAUUUAGAUUACUGACCGAAAUUGGGUCCAACAUGUAUUGUUCAUAAUUAAUGUUUUAAAUAUGCUUACACUGUUACACAUUCAAAAUAAUUAGUUGUGAUUGAGGACUAGCUAGGGGUCUAAGGGAAAUGACGACAAUUGUUUUAUUUUUUGGUGUAAAUGUUAUAUAUUUUUGGUGUAAAUGUUAAAUUCAUACCAAAGCUUUUCUUUGACAACAUUUGUGAAAAUCCACUUAUUACAAUGAGAACGAAAUAAGAUAGAGCAUGCAGUUACAAACAGAUCAAAACCCUAAGGAACAGGAGGCGGUAGGCGGAAGUAGACUAGCAGGGGAGAAGGCGAAGAAGCGGAUGAUGGAGGAAUGGAGAUAAGUCGAUCACGCCUUAUGCAAUCAACACGCGCAAUGACUCCAGUCUCAGUUGUUGACGCUUGUUGGAAGGUGUGCAUGUUCCUCUCUCGCCACACGCAGUAUCUGAUACAUUGCAGCAAGAGCUUGAUCACAGCUGGUAACCCGAAGACGAGACGACCUGAUAACUUGAAACAAUACCCGCAACCGCUUGAAGUGAUGAUGGAGGAGUGGGAAUGGAGAGUCCACAUAAAUGAGCCCAGACCGCAGACACAAAGGAACAUUGGAGGAAUAAGUGAGGAUGAGACUCAUGUCCUGUAGAGCAUAGAACACACUGCAAAAGGACAGCAAGACCCCAAGAAGCUAGCCUGUCCUUUGUUGGUAAUCUCGAUAGCAUUGCCAUCCAUGUAAUGAAAAAGCAUUUUGGGAUCUCUUCCUUGAACCAGACCAUAGAAUGCCACUGGACUAUAGGAGCUAUCUCACGGAUGGUGUGCCAUGUUGCCUUUGUGGAGAACUUAGGAACAUAAUGUUAUUCAUAUAUCAAUUCACAUAUGCAUGUGAAUCACGAUGUAUGUUAGACUAUUUUGCCAUUUUUUACAAUGCUAUCAGUGAAUGCGAAAUAAAGUAUGUAGUAAGAAUUAGAGUUAUUAUCUUUAUCUCGGCCUAAAACCAAAACAAUACGUUUAUCAAAACACUGAGUAUACAAAUUACGGUCUUUCAAAACUGGGUCUAAAGUCCAAGUUGAUUUUGGGAAUAUUUAGUUUUUGAUAUUUUAUUCUUAUUUUUAAAAAUUGGCUGAAUUAAUUUUGAUUUAUAUUUUUAAUGUUAAUUUUUAAAAAUGAGUGUAUACCUUAAUUCUUGUGCAUACACCCAAAACAUCAAAUAUUUUAGAAGAGAGGGAGUAUUAGAUUUAUAUUUUUAACCUGUGACUUUUAUAUGAUCUAGCUUUUGACCCAAUAAGUUCUAUGUGAGAUCUGAUAAGUUAUCUAUAGAGUGUAUAAAGAUUUUUGUCGAGUGUUUUGUUAUUUGGAACUAAUCGUCCCUUUAAAUUAUUAGAAUUUAACCAUAACCCUCUCUCAUCAAUAAAAGAUUACAUGGGUAACUGUUCAGCUUCGGUUCCCCAGAUCAUUUAACAUAUAUCAUAAUUUGAAAAUUUUUAAUCGGAUAUUUUAAACAUUUCGACCGAAGUUUAUACUAUACUAUAUUAAAAUAGAAUAGUUCACCUAAUUUAUACAUUGAGUGGUAAUGUGUAUUUGCGUUUUGAAAUUUCAUGCUUUAUAAAGGAUAUUAUUUUGCUAUUGUGUUGAAUGAAUGCUCUAAGUUAAUGGAGAUUCACAUACAUGUGUGUAUUGACAGUUUAUAUAGCUUUCAUACAAUAUUUGAAUAAACAUUACAUUAUAGUAUACUAAUCUAUUCAUCAAAAUAGUAUAGUUUCCUCCUAUGUCGCUUUCACUCUUACACUCCCUUCUACUCUUUCUCUCCUCCCCUCCCUUCCCCGGUCUCUCUCUGUCGCUCUCUCCAUUCCUCCUUCCUUUCCUCCAUACUUCUAUCUUUCCUCCUUCCUCCUUCCUCCUCCUCCCCUCCUGCUCCUCACCUCUCAAUUUUCCUCCUUUUCCCAUUAAUCAAUAUAGUAACUAUCAUCAAUUGCCAUACUAUUCUAAAUGAAAUAUAGUAUAUUUUAGACCUUCAAGUUUAGGGUUUAGGUAGCUCCGUUAUGGGCGAUGGUUUGGUUUUACAAUUUGGUUUUAGGGUUUGGGUUAAGGGUUUACAGUUUGGGUUUAGGGUUUAGAGUUUGGGUUUAGGGGGGUUUUGGGUUUAAGGUUUGGGUUUAGGGUUUGAGUUAAGGGUCUACGGUUUGGGUUUAGGGUUUAGACCUUCAAGGUUAGGGUUUAGGUAGCUCCGUUAUGGGUGAUGGUUUGGUUUUACAAUUUGGGUUUAGGGUUUGGGUUAAGGGUUUACAGUUUGGAUUUAGGGUUUAGAAUUUGGGUUUAGGGGGGUUUAGGGUUUAGGUAGCUUUGUUUGGGUCUAUGGUUUGGGUUAAGAAUUUGUGUUUAGGGUUUGGGUUUAUGGUUUAGAGUUUUGGUUUAGGGUUUAGGUAGCUCCGUUAUGGUUUACGGUUUGGGUUAAGAAUUUGGGUUUAGGGUAUACGGUUUGGGUUUAGGGUUUAAGGGUCUACCGUUUGGGUUUAGAAUUUAGAGUUUGGGUUUAGGGUUUAGUGUUUAGAGUUUGGGUUUAGGGUUUAUUUGGUUGUGUUUCAUUAUGUUGGUAAUCAACAUCAAUUGCC
rnacentral:lncRNA from 1 species